GGUCAGAGCAGAGAAUAGCGAAGACAUUGUUUCACUUGAUUUGCAGUAUUAUCUAAAAGAGAAUGUGGUCAUCAGAGGUGAGUGUGUGUGUGAGCUUGUGUGAUGGUGCAUGAUCGUGUGUGUGUAAGAGGGAGAGUGUGUGUUGUGCAUGAUUCUGUGCAUAUAUAUGUGAGUGUGGUGAGUGUGAGCAUGUGUGUGAACGUGUGAGCUUGUGUGAUCGUGCAUGAUCGUGUGUGUGUAUGUGUGUGUGUGUGUGUGUCAGAGUGAGAGAGUGCUGCUCCGGUGCAACUUCCAUGGAGAUGUGAUGAGCUCUCCAGUGACCUCUAGAAGAAAACCCAGCAUCUAGGAGUUGCCUCUUCUUCCCCCUCCAAAAUGUGCACCCCGGGGUCUGACCAGCAGUUCGAGGCUCUCCAGGGCUUGCACUCCUUCCCGCCUCAUCUCCCCUCUUCUUUUCUGACACACAUACACUGCUCAGCAGCCCUGCCUUUCUUUAUGAUUAUAACGUGAAUCCUCUGCUACCCGCCCACCGAAUCAGUGUUUGUUUCCCUGAAAAGCAUGUUUUUAUUUCAAGGGAGUUGUUGAUGAGGCUUUCCCAUGGCGGUGCUCUGUUGCACCUGGCGGGUACGGCUCCAGGCCCUGGCACACACCCUCUGGCGCUUGGGAGCGAAUAGGACCCUUACACUUCCAGACAAUCCCUGCCCCCCUCCUCUGCUCUUUCUUCAUCUGCUCAGAUGUGCGGGCCUGGCACACAGGAAUGCCCUCCCUCCACCCUCCCCACCUCUUACCUACUCUGGGGGAGAAUACAGACGCAAGUCAAUGACAACCAGAAAAACGCAAUGACAGCCCAGGAACUCCUAAAUUUUCCAAAUUGCUGGCUACACUUCCUCUAACUUUACAUCCCUGCAUGCCUCAGCAAGCCUGCCCCUCCGGGCCCAGCCCCAGCCCCAGCAGCUGCAAGCAAGUGUCUGCUCAUUCCAGAUGCUUUGAGAACUGCUGGGGCUCCAGGGACCAACCUCUUCCGAUCUUUUCCGUCCGCGCCCCCUCCCACCACGACGUGGGGCUCGGGUGCGGUUCCUGUCUCUUCCAGGGGCGCACGCGUGCGACCUGUGAGAUGCCCGACCCGGUUGUCCCCGGCCCACGCCGCCGCCGCCGUCCUGCGGGAGCUGGCGACUCCCGCUCACCCCGGCCCCUAGAAGAAGCGGGCGGCCGCGGGCAGCACCGGCCGGGCGGGCGCUCGAGCCCCGGGCAGCUGCUCGGAGCGCGGGCCCCGGAGGGCGGCGGCCCGCAGGCGGCCGAGGCCGGGACCCGCCGGAGCCAGAGCGCCCCGCGCCGCCGCACCCCCCGCGAGGCCCGAGCCCGCCGCUGCGGCGUCUGCAGCCCCGAACCUCCGCCAGGCCUCGGCGGAGCAUCUGCCGCACUCCCCAAAUUCAUUUUUAAUUCAUGA
rnacentral:lncRNA from 12 species